rnacentral:lncRNA from 1 species
AACCCCCAUUUUAUCCCCAAACACUUCUAAAAAUGGGUCGGAUUAGCUAACCCCAGCUAACCACACCUCAAAUGGGUUAUCCCGGGUUAGCUAACCCCACCAAACCCCAACCAAACACUAUUUUCUAUUCAUAAUAACCCACUAUCCUUCUUAUCCUACCUACUCCAACCAAACACUAUUUUUCACUAUCCUGGACUAACUCCAACCCCCAACCAAACACAAAAAUACUCUAACCCCACCUUAACCCUAAACUUAACCCUAUCUCUGGAAUAACUAGUUUUUCCUUAACCCCGAACCAAACUAGGGGCAAGAGUCUAUUUUUAACCAACCCAAAAAAAGAGCAAAACUCACCUAAAUGUUGGAAAAAUCCUCUCAAAUCCCAAAUGGAAGUUAGAGCAUUUCUAAUCCAACCUAGAGGAAGGUUCUACAUCUAUCAAUUAAGCUCCAAAAGCCACAAAUCAAAAAUCCCCAAAUAAAAUCCUAAAUUCCACACUCUAGGUUUUCAUCUCAAAAACUUAAGCAAAACCACAAU